CUGGUUGAUCCUGCCAGAGGUUACUGCUAUCGAGGUUCGACUAAGCCAUGCGAGUCGAAUGUAGCAAUACAUGGCGUACUGCUCAGUAACACGUGGACAACCUGCCCUUAGGUCGGGUAUAAACCCGGGAAACUGGGUAUAAUCCCCGAUAGGUCUCGGCUGCUGGAAUGCAUCGAGAUUUAAAGCUCCGGCGCCUAAGGAUGGGUCUGCGGCCUAUCAGGUAGUAGUGGGUGUAGCGUACCUACUAGCCUACGACGGGUACGGGUUGUGAGAGCAAGAGCCCGGAGAUGGAUUCUGAGACACGAAUCCAGGCCCUACGGGGUGCAGUAGGCGCGAAAACUUUACAAUGCUGGCAACAGCGAUAAGGGAACCUCGAGUGCCAGGUUACAAAUCUGGCUGUCGAGAUGCCUAAAAAGCAUUUCAUAGCAAGGGCCGGGCAAGACCGGUGCCAGCCGCCGCGGUAACACCGGCGGCUCGAGUGGUAACCGUUAUUAUUGGGUCUAAAGGGUCUGUAACCGGCCGGAUAAGUCUCUUGAGAAAUCUGGCAGCUUAACUGUCAGGCUUUCAGGAGAUACUGUCUGGCUCGAGGCCGGGAGAGGUGAGAGGUACUUCAGGGGUAGGGGUGAAAUCUUGCAAUCCUUGAAGGACCACCAGUGGCGAAGGCGUCUCACCAGAACGGACCUGACGGCAAGGGACGAAAGCUAGGGGCACGAACCGGAUUAGAUACCCGGGUAGUCCUAGCCGUAAACGAUACUCGCUAGGUGUCGGCCACGGUGCGACCGUUGUCGGUGCCGUAGGGAAGCCGUGAAGCGAGCCACCUGGGAAGUACGGCCGCAAGGCUGAAACUUAAAGGAAUUGGCGGGGGAGCACCAC
rnacentral:rRNA from 1 species